AUUGAACGCUGGCGGCAGGCCUAACACAUGCAAGUCGAACGAGUGGCGGACGGGUGAGUAAUGUCUGGGAAACUGCCUGAUGGAGGGGGAUAACUACUGGAAACGGUAGCUAAUACCGCAUACCAUCAGAUGUGCCCAGAUGGGCUUAGCUUGUUGGUGGGGUAACGGCUCACCAAGGCGACGCUCCCUAGCUGGUCUGAGAGGAUGACCAGCCAAAAUGGAACUGAGACAUGGGACAGAGUCGUACGGGAGGCAGCAGGGGGGAAUAUUGCACAAUGGGCGCAAGCCUGAGGCAGCCAUGCCGCGUGUAUGAAGAAGGCCUUCGGGUUGUAAAGGACUUUCAGCGGGGAGGCGUUACCAGCAGAAGAAGCACCGGCUAACUCCGUGCCAGCCGCCGCGGUAAUAC
rnacentral:rRNA from 1 species